AUGCUGGUGGGGACCAUGAUCUUCUACAAGGGGCCGAUCCGCGCCCUCCGACUCCUCACGGUCGACCCCCCGGUUGGCCUACUCGAUCAGUGGAUCGGCGUCGUCAUUGGCUCCGGCGUCGAGGAGGUGGACGUCGAGCUGCGCUGCCCGUACAUCUCCCGCCGCAGACUCUGCCCUUUCUGGUCCGACAAGUCCUCGGCAGACUUCGACGCGGUUUACGGGAGAAGCUACACCAAGACGCCACCGCUGCUCUUCCGGUGCCGCACGCUGCGCCGGCUGCGCCUCACAAGCUGGACGCUCGAGCUGCCCUCGGGAUUUGACGUCGGCGUCUUCGCAGCGUCCCUACAAACUCUCUGCCUCAAGCGGAUCAUGGCCGCUAACGAGGUGAUCCUGCAGCUGCUCUACGGAUGCCCUCUCCUCGCCGACCUGACACUGGAGGAGUGCCCGGGCGCCACAGAGAUCACCGUGCCCAGCGACCGCCUCCGGAGCUUCGCCAUGGUCUGCUGUCACAAAGCCCAGCGCGUCGUGCUGUACACACCAUGCCUGCGUUCGCUGAGGUACAAGGGCGGACUCCCUCCUCACACGUCGUUCCUCCUCGUUGCCGGCUACGAAAGCGUCGCGGCGGUGACCAUGGACAUCUGCGAGGACCUCAGCAGCAAAUCACCAACGGAAGUCGCUCCGCUCAUGGGUCUCGUCAGCUGGUGCAGGAACCUAACGUAUCUCCACCUCGCCCUGCGCCCAUCGAUGGCAUACUACUGCAGCGAGUUCAUGGCCGUCCCAGGCCGCCAGCUGGGACUCAGGCAGCUAGUCCUUAAGGGCCUCCUUGGCACCGAGCAUGCCGUCCGGUCCGUCCCGUCCUGCUCGUCAACGCCAGGAACCUGCAAGUGCUAUCGCUGUUUCCUGUCGUUCCUGAGCCCAGGAAGCCUUACUACUCUUACGACGAUUCGGACGAAGACGAGCCGGAGAACUGCGGUAUCGUCGAGGAGGCCGUCGACUAUGACCAAAUGA
rnacentral:rRNA from 1 species